GAUGAACGCUGGCGGCGUGCCUAAUACAUGCAAGUCGAGCGAACGGACGAGAAGCUUGCUUCUCUGAUGUUAGCGGCGGACGGGUGAGUAACACGUGGAUAACCUACCUAUAAGACUGGGAUAACUUCGGGAAACCGUAGCUAAUACCGGAUAAUAUUUUGAACCGCAUGGUUCAAAAGUGAAAGACGGUCUUGCUGUCACUUAUAGAUGGAUCCGCGCUGCAUUAGCUAGUUGGUAAGGUAACGGCUUACCAAGGCAACGAUGCAUAGCCGACCUGAGAGGGUGAUCGGCCACACUGGAACUGAGACACGGUCCAGACUCCUACGGGAGGCAGCAGUAGGGAAUCUUCCGCAAUGGGCGAAAGCCUGACGGAGCAACGCCGCGUGAGUGAUGAAGGUCUUCGGAUCGUAAAACUCUGUUAUUAGGGAAGAACAUAUGUGUAAGUAACUGUGCACAUCGUGACGGUACCUAAUCAGAAAGCCACGGCUAACUACGUG
rnacentral:rRNA from 1 species